rnacentral:sRNA from 1 species
AGUUCGUUGGUAGCUUGCUACUGAUGAAUCGAGCGGCGGACGGGUGAGUAACAUGUGGGCAACCUGCCUCAUAGAGGGGAAUAGCCUCCCGAAAGGGAGAUUAAUACCGCAUAAAAUUAUCGAGUGGCAUCACAUGAUAAUCAAAGGAGUAAUCCGCUAUGAGAUGGGCCCGCGCCCCAUAAGAUAGAUGUUGAGGUAAUUUUUCUCCAAGGUGACGAGAAAUAGCCGACCUGAGAGGGUGAUCGGCCACACUNCACUUUAAUCCGUUCCGGAGGGAUACANCCNCNCUCAAAUGGGGAGGCUAUUANCUCGAACCU